rnacentral:rRNA from 1 species
AUACAGAGGGUGCGAGCGUUAAUCGGAAUUACGGGGCGUAAAGCGCGCGUAGGCGGUCUAUUAAGUCAGAUGUGAAAUCCCAGGGCUCAACCUUGGAACUGCAUCUGAUACUGGUAGACUAGAGUUUUGGAGAGGGAAGUAGAAUUUCAGGUGUAGCGGUGAAAUGCAUAGAGAUCUGAAGGAAUACCAGUGGCGAAGGCGACUUCCUGGCCAAAAACUGACGCUGAGGUGCGAAAGCGUGGGUAGCAAACGGGAUUAGAAACCCUAGUAGUCC